AGCUCCAAUAGCGUAUAUUAAAGUUGUUGCGGUAAAAAAGCUCGUAGUUGGAUUUCUGUUGAGGACGACCGGUCCACACACUGUGUGCGUAUUGUGUUCGGCCUCGGCAUCCUUCCGUAUGGCCUGUCUGCGCUUUAUUGCGUGGCGGGAACUGCGGAACUUUUACUUUGAGGAAAUUAGAGUGUUCACGGCAGGCUAUCGCCCGAAUACAUUAGCAUGGAAUAAUACUAUAGGAUCUCGGUUCUAUUUUGUUGGUUUCUAGAAUCAGGAUAAUGAUUAAUAGGGACAAUUGGGGGCAUUCGUAUCAACACGUCAGAGGUGGAAUUCUUGGAUUGUGUUGCGACGAACUACUGCGAAAGCAUUUGCCAAGGAUGUUUUCA
rnacentral:rRNA from 1 species